rnacentral:rRNA from 1 species
GACGGGGGGGGCAAGUGUUCUUCGGAAUGACUGGGCGUAAAGGGCACGUAGGCGGUGAAUCGGGUUGAAAGUGAAAGUCGCCAAAAAGUGGCGGAAUGCUCUCGAAACCAAUUCACUUGAGUGAGACAGAGGAGAGUGGAAUUUCGUGUGUAGGGGUGAAAUGCGUAGAUAUCUGGAGGAACACCGGUGGCGAAGGCGGCAUCCUGGACCAACACUGACGCUGAGGAGCGAAAGCCAGGGGAGCAAACGGG